rnacentral:rRNA from 1 species
UACGUAGGGACCAAGCGUUGUCCGGAAUCAUUGGGCGUAAAGAGCGUGUAGGCGGCUUGUUAAGUCUUGCGUGAAAUCUCGGGGCUCAACCCCGAGCGGUCGUGAGAAACUGGCAGGCUAGAGUGCGGGAGAGGAGAGUGGAAUUCCUGGUGUAGCGGUGAAAUGCGCAGAUAUCAGGAGGAAGACCAGUUGCGAAGGCGACUCUCUGGGCAAUUCCUGACACUGAGGCACGAAGGCCAGGGGAGCAAACGGG